rnacentral:rRNA from 1 species
UACGUAGGUGGCGAGCGUUGUCCGGAAUUACUGGGUGUAAAGGGAGCGUAGGCGGGAACGCAAGUUGGAUGUGAAAUCCCCAGGCUUAACCUGGGGGCUGCAUCCAAAACUGUGUUUCUUGAGUGAAGUAGAGGCAGGCGGAAUUCCUAGUGUAGCGGUGAAAUGCGUAGAUAUUAGGAGGAACACCAGUGGCGAAGGCGGCCUGCUGGGCUUUAACUGACGCUGAGGCUCGAAAGCGUGGGGAGCAAACAGG